rnacentral:sRNA from 1 species
GUCGUAACAAGGUUUCCGUAGGUGAACCUGCGGAAGGAUCAUUAACGAAGAACUCACACUUCUUCUCAUACACCCUGUGAACCGUCGUCUUCGGACGCUCAUACAUACUCUAGUGUUGUCCAUGAAUGUCAUUUGUUUUCGAACAUAAAUUAUAACUUUCAGCAACGGAUCUCUUGGCUCUCGCAUCGAUGAAGAACGCAGCGAAAUGCGAUAAGUAAUGUGAAUUGCAGAAUUCAGUGAAUCAUCGAAUCUUUGAACGCACCUUGCGCUCUCUGGUACCCCGGAGAGCAUGCCUGUUUGAGCGCCUUAACAUCGUUGUGCGCCCGCUUCGGCGAGCGCGCAGAGUUGGGCCGUGCCGGUUUUUACUGGCUCGCCCUGAAUGCAUGAGCGACUGCAAGCGCGAACUAACGUGAUAAGAUCGUCGUUAGCGAGCGUUGCGUGGCCGCUUCGAACCGUCCUCGGACACACUUUUCAUGCUAGGCAUCAAAUCAGGUAGGACUACCCGCUGAACUUAAGCAUAUCAAUA